UACGUAGGGGGGCAAGCGUUGUCCGGAUUCAUUGGGCGUAAAGAGCGUGUAGGCGCCAGGUAGGUCGGCUGUGAAAACUGGAGGCUCAACCUUCAGAGGUCGACCGAAACCAUCUGGCUAGAGUCCGGGAGAGGAGAGUGGAAUUCCUGGUGUAGCGGUGAAAUGCGUAGAUAUCAGGAGGAACACCGGUGGUGUAGACGGCUUUCUGGACCGUAACUGACGCUGAGACACGAAAGCGUGGGUAGCAAACAGG
rnacentral:rRNA from 1 species